rnacentral:rRNA from 1 species
GAUGAACGCUGGCGGCGUGCCUAAUACAUGCAAGUCGAGCGAACAGACGAGGAGCUUGCUCCUCUGACGUUAGCGGCGGACGGGUGAGUAACACGUGGAUAACCUACCUAUAAGACUGGGAUAACUUCGGGAAACCGGAGCUAAUACCGGAUAAUAUAUUGAACCGCAUGGUUCAAUAGUGAAAGACGGUUUUGCUGUCACUUAUAGAUGGAUCCGCGCCGCAUUAGCUAGUUGGUAAGGUAACGGCUUACCAAGGCAACGAUGCGUAGCCGACCUGAGAGGGUGAUCGGCCACACCGGAACUGAGACACGGUCCAGACUCCUACGGGAGGCAGCAGUAGGGAAUCUUCCGCAAUGGGCGAAAGCUUGACGGAGCAACGCCGCGUGAGUGAUGAAGGUCUUCGGAUCGUAAAACUCUGUUAUUAGGGAAGAACAAAUGUGUAAGUAACUAUGCACGUCUUGACGGUACCUAAUCAGAAAGCCACGGCUAACUACGUA